rnacentral:rRNA from 1 species
UAGGGCAACAGUGGGGAAUAUUAUACAAUGGGCGAAAGCCUGAUCCACCAACGCCGCGUGAGGGAUGACGGCCUUCGGGUUGUAAACCUCUUUCAGCAGGGACGAAGCGCAAGUGACGGUACCUGCAGAAGAAGCACCGGCCAACUACGUGCCAGCAGCCGCGGUAAUACGUAGGGUGCGAGCGUUGUCCGGAAUUAUUGGGCGUAAAGGGCUCGUAGGCGGUUUGUCGCGUCGGGAGUGAAAACUCAGGGCUUAACCCUGAGCCUGCUUCCGAUACGGGCAGACUAGAGGUAUGCAGGGGAGAACGGAAUUCCUGGUGUAGCGGUGAAAUGCGCAGAUAUCAGGAGGAACACCGGUGGCGAAGGCGGUUCUCUGGGCAUUACCUGACGCUGAGGAGCGAAAGUGUGGGGAGCGAACAGGAUU